UACGUAGGGGCAAGCGUUGUCCGGAUUUAUUGGGCGUAAAGAGCGUGUAGGCGGCUGGGUAGGUCCGUUGUGAAAACUCGAGGCUCAACCUCGAGACGCCGAUGGAAACCAUCCAGCUAGAGUCCGGAAGAGGAGAGUGGAAUUCCUGGUGUAGCGGUGAAAUGCGUAGAUAUCUGGAGGAACACCGGUGGCGAAGGCGGCAUCCUGGACCAACACUGACACUGAGGAGCGAAAGCCAGGGAGCAAACG
rnacentral:rRNA from 1 species